rnacentral:misc_RNA from 1 species
GUUGCGUUUUCGUGAGCAGAAGGGUAGGCGCUCUUUAGAACUGCUGCUCAAAUUGUGAUACCCCAAGCUCUAACACGAAUACAGGUGAAGAUGAGGGCGACGGUGCAUGGCCCCACGUACCUCCAUUACCACACAACCACACUCACUCGCACGCGCAACUACAAGCAUGGCCACCACCACUGCCACCGAUGUAAAUGCUCUGCACUAUGCGCCUCCGCCGCCGCCGCCGCCAUCACAGGAGAUUCCAGCAUCGGCUCUCGCUCUCGAUCGAAAGGUUGUUCAGGCGUUGUUCGUGUCGCUGCGCAUGUCUAUCCCACAAGAUGUUCAGCGACGCCUCCUUUGCAACGCCGCGGAGGAGCUCGAGUUUCUCAUUGCGCGGCAGCCGCGGGUAAGCGCCUUCCACCAUCGCCGGCGCGAGUCGCUGCGGCACCCCGCUCUCGCCAUGGCAGCAAAGAAGUACUACCGUGAAUGCCGGCGCCGGCGGCUCGAGCUGGAAUUACAGCAGAUGGCGGCUGUGGAAGGCCGGCCACUCUCGCAACCAACCAGCUCGCCAGCUGCACAGGUUCGCAGCGGGGUGAGUGCCGCGCAGCGUGAGUCAGUAUUGGUGGACCUCCUUUUUUCAGAGUACGCCCAGCAGUCUGCCAUCUACUCCAAGGACCAGGACCGCCAGGGCGACCACUACGGCACAAGUACUGGCAAGGGAGCAGCCGGCUUCGGCGGGUUCGCUGCAUCGCACACCAGUACGUCGCUCAACACCUGCGCAGCCUCUACUCCUCCUCGGCUGCUGGGCAGAAUCAGCAGGGAGGUGGACAUCGAGGCAAGUUUGCAACCACCGACCACACCACGUGGUGGCCAUGCCGUGGAACUCAGCAGCACGAUGACGAGCGGCAAGAGCGGUAUCCUACUGCAUCGCUCACCGACCCUGAGGCACCCAAAAAGCAGCAACGAGGAUAGCGUCUCGGCCUUGUCUGAGGCCCUCAACACUGGGUCGCUCUCCCGCUUUGGCUUGAGCGUCACGGCAGCCGAGAACGCCGAAAGCGGCGGCAACGCGCGUGCGCGGGGGAUCGGCAUGGGUGUCUCUACCACCGCCGCAGCGGAUGGGGCCCGUUUCUUUGCGCGGCGGAUGGGCUGCAACGACAACGCCGCCGGCCGUCGCGGCGGUGGCAGCGGUGGCGGCACCGGGGACAAAUUUGCCUCCGGCUGGACAGGGGAGAUGCGCGUGCUGCUGCAGCGCCGCACGGAGGAAGAGCGGGAGGCUGGAACGGGCAACGACCCGUAUCUUUUCAUCUCCGCGCGGCCUGUCGAGCACCUUCUCUGCUGCUACGGCGGUGUCUCACGAGAGCCAGCCGCCAUGGCGCUUGGCGCGGCAUCGAUGAUGCUGCAGUGCGACAGCACCAACACGGCCGACGCGGACCCGUUUCGCAACGCGAUAGUAGAGGAGGACAUGCGGUGGGAUCAGUUGGCGGGGUGCCAUCGUCAGCUGUUGCGAGCGGCGUACGGGCCAUGCCGAGCCGCGGCUGCAGCUGUGGCUGGCGACCACCUUGUGAACGACGUCAUUCGCCGCUUCUGGGACCGGCUGACGGUCUCCAUGGCGGCUCAGCACGCCCACAAGGCGCAGGAGGCGCGCAAGUCACGCGCAGCGGCGGAUGCCGAUAUUGCAGCCGCGGCCUCUGCGCUGCGCGGGCGGCGCGACGGAGAGGCGGACGAGGACGACUUGAACGAAAUAUCCGACAGCGACGACAAGGGCGGAGGGGUUGCUGUCGGCAGAGGCGCCGGCACCGGUGAUGAUGACGUUGGCCGCAGGAAGACCGCUUCUAUCUCCAUGAGUCGUGCAAAACGAAACGCGUCGAAGUCAUCUCGCACCCGUAAAACUGUGUCGAAGUUGUCGAGGAAAACGAAGAGAAAGGGCGGCGGCGCCGUCUCGUCCGGCGUGGGGGGCGGGUCUGAGCAGCAUUCCAGUGUGGCAUAUUACAUGACCCCUCUCCAGUACGUCUACCUCCAUACUCGCAUAGCACAUGUGCUCUUGCCAGAAUGCGACGCGGUCGAAGUGGAGCUGUUGCCAUACAUUCAGGAGGACUUACUCGUGGAUGCCGCGUACGACGAGGGAGACGCGGCGCAGCCGUUUUAUUUUGGCGAGGCACCACGCCUCGUCGGAGACUUCGGGCGACAGCAUCGCCGCUCUACCGCUGCUGUCGGCGCAGGGCCGAUGUUGCGGACUUCGCUUGCGGAAAGCAAACUGCAAGGGGGCGGCUACGAAGACGCGGGGGAUGAUCGAAUGUCCGCCGCCGGCGGCGAAAUGCAGCGAGAUGCCUUGCACUUGCAGCGCCGGUUUCUGUCAGUGCGUCGCAACGGCUACGCUCUCAGCAGAUCGACAGGUGGUGGCGCGAGCGACGGCGGCGGCAUGCGCGAGAUUGGUCUGGGAGACGACGGGAUGAGUAUCGGACCCACGUCGUCGAUGGCGGUAACGAUCGACGAUGGCACGGUAAUGCGGCGCGCCGACGGCUGUGAUCGGGGCAUGGGCAGGUCCUACGCCAUGGCCUCUCUGUCUCUGGUUCCGAUGAGUUUCACGGUAGCGCAGCUACCCUCGCUCACGUAUCCGCAGUUCUGGUGCUCCAUGAUGGAACUGGCGGACAACUGGACGUGCUGCGCUGGAAACCCAGUGGAGACGGCGAUUUUCAUGUGGGAGCUCUAUGGUGAGGUGUUUGGGCACAACUGGGACGAGGAGGACAAGCUGCUUGCCAAUGCGGUAGAGAGUAAGGCGGCCAAGUCCGUCAUGAGCGCAGCUGAGAAAGCAGAGCUGGCGAAGGAGGAGGCGGAUACAAUGGAGUCUUUUCAGGCCCUCCUGGCCGAGGUAAGCGGGCAGUUGUCUCAGCCGCCGUCGCGGCGCAGAUCUCUCAACAGUAUCACAAGCAUGACCGAAGCCAUCCACGCCGCGGUAGACAGGUACCGCUCACGUCGACCGCAGUCCAAAACAAAGCGUGGCACGCGCACCUGCUCGCAAUCGACGCAGUCAAUCGACCCAGACGACGAUGAGUCGCUCCUGCUGACGUCCUACUUAGACUUGUCGCUCUCUGAGUUGAAACGUCUCGCCGAGGCGAAGGCCGAGGGGAAUGAUAGGUGGAUCUACAGCGAGCGUGUUGGCGCGGAUGGGGUGACGCGCCGCUACCGCCGUCGAGUGUGCGACGGCGAGAGCCACUCGAGCUCGCGCAGCAUCUCAGGGCCGGGGUCGCACAAUGACUCGUACAUCGUCGAGGAAGAGCUGGACAAAGACGGAGCCGUGGUGGGUCGGCGCAAACUGCGCUGGCACGUAGCGCUCUCGUCGGACUGCUCGCUUUACACGGCAGACGAGAGAGCGCCGGGGUUCCUUCGCCGCAAGUACUACGAGGAUCGAGCGAAGAAAUCGCGGCGUUUGGAGUCGUGGCGCCGCGUGAGCGCUGGGCACAGUGACAGCGACUCCCGGUCAUCCAGCAUGACCUCGUGGAGCUCCAUCGACGACUGCGACAGCGACGAUCGCCACAACGGGCGCCGUCGCCGUCGCCGCGCUCGCCACACGGGCUUGCGACGUGAUCACCCACGCUACUCGAGGAAAGGUGAUCAGUAUUGGCACAAGAAGUUUGGGCUGAAGCUCGACUGGAGGUUCCCUUAUGAAGACGAUGUGGCCGACCGUGGUGAUGGUGGGCGACGCGCGCAGGGAUCGAGUAAGUCUGGACUCACCCAGGAGGAGCGGGAGCAUCUGCUGGCUCGCAAGGAGUGGCUGUGCUCCGUGCUGGAGGCACAGGGGAUUCACCUGCCACCACACAUGCUAGAGGAUCCGGCUGAGCAGAUGUUGCUGUACGACUUUCUGCGGCUCGCGGAGGAGAGAGAGAGAGCCGUCGAUCAGAGCAACUACCGCGGCGGCAGCGACGACGACUACCACCUUGAGGAUGGCGAGGCCGGCGAUGCAGGCAAUCUGUCGCGCCUCGCAGCACUGAUGGCGAAGUUGCAGGGGUUCACCCUGGACGACCUCGCGAACUCUAGCCUCAUGCGCCGUCUCCUGGGGGAGAGCGAGGCGGAGGGGGCGGGGAACCGCCAUCUCACACCACAGCAGGUACAGGACAUCUUGACCGCUCUUACCAAGGGGCAAAGAGCAGGCGGUUCACGCGCAGACUCGGGCCGAGCGGAGCAGGAAAGCGUGCGAGAGCGCCGACUGCGUCUACUGCGCAUGCUCGAGGAUAACAGGGGUCUCCAGCAGCAGCGCCGCGAAGACUCCGCGGCGCCUGGCCCCACAGAGAGCCCGCUCACAAAGGAAACUUUCGGUCUUACCGAGGUACCGCCACCGCCUCCUCGUCCGCCGUCCUCCAAGGGACCACCGAAGUCUGCCUCGCCCACAAACCUUCCCAAGUACAUUGCCUCACCACAUCCGCCUAGCGUGCAGUCGCCACCGUCCUUUGCCAAGAGCAGCUCACACAUCGGCUUCUCUUGCGAGUCGCUGGAUCUGCCCGAGCGCCAAAAGGCCCCCUCGAGAGAGUCCAGCGCAGCGAGUAGUGCGCGGCUGUUCGCCAAUUCCAUUGCGUGGAAGAUUUCGCCGACGACGCUGGCGGAGAGGAAAGAGCUGGAGCGACUCUUCAGAGAGCUAGAGGCAUACUGGGCGGACCGUGCUUCGCAGGGAGGCCGCUUUCGUGUCGAUAUCAUCGACUACACUCCUGAGCAGCUUGAGGAGUUCUUCACCCACCUGCACCUCGGCCCCCGCCAGCGCGCCCUGCUGCGAGGGCGAGCCCCGCUGGCGGCGGCAACAUCGCUGGUGGGUGGAGCAAUGCACCAGGACGGCUCAUGCUCGGCAUUCAAGGGCGCCGUCGCGGCGCCUGCGCAACGGCAGCACGGCCACACCGGUUGUGGUCAGCCAGCCCACUCUCUGGUUCCGUCGCCGACGCCCCUCGCACCAGCGCCGGUCAAGCUCUUCACGCUCACCACAGAGGACUCCCUCGACGGGGCCUUGCGCCGCAGCUAUCAGAGCUACAUGGAGGACAAGCUUUUCUCCGAGGCUCUGCACGGAAAUGUCAAGCUCGAUACAGCAAGGUCCGCCCGCGUAUCGACGGCAGCGCAGUCUCUGCGACCACCGCCACUUCCUCGCUUGAAGCUGCGUGACUCACGAUGGAGGGCGUCGGGUGAGCGAGUAGGCGGCGUGCCGACUACCUCUGCAGCACCACGUCCACCGCCGAAGUCGUCGCCACCUUCCUCAUCCUUGCCAAGGCUGUAGGGUACCGCCGUUGCAACGGCGCUGAUGUGUAUGAGUGCGUGUGCUUGCACGUGGCCGGCACUGCGAGUGGCUUACUCUCUCGCGGUCGCUUUCUCUUCUCGUCUGCCUUGGUCCCUCUGCUUUUCGCUUUUCUUCUGCUGGUGGCGCUUUCAUUUUUUUUUGUUUGCGUUUUCCUCAUGUAAACCAUCACGUGCCACGCAGGCGCUGCGGCCAUUCUUUUCAUCCUGUCUCGGACUGCUCUUCUCUGUCAUUGCUUGGGUUGACGGACAUGCGUGGAGCAACAGAGAAUGCACAUUCCCUGCGGCCUAGUCUCACGCAGGCACACAUACACGCAAACACGCUCCCGCAUGUGUGCAUUAUGUAUCAUCACUACGUGUCUGGGCUGCGUUCUCAGAUCACAAUGACGGCGCCGGCAACUGCGCUGCACCUUUUUCUUUUGUUUUCUUUGAUGCACGAGGGCGCUGCUGGAGCCCUUUCUCGUUUCCCUCGUCCCUCGUGUGUGUUUCGUUUCGGAUACAGAUAACUUCAUCUUACGCUUUCGGAACGGAUGGGUUUGGAACGCAUUGGCUUCGUGCAUGUGCAUAUUGACGUGGAGCGGAGCGCUGACCACUUGCAUCUCCACUGCUCCACUCCCUUCCUCGUCUCGUGCACCGACACGCUGGCUUAUAAAACAAGCUCACCACCAACUCCUCACUCUUCUUGUAGUGCCUUCUCUCUUCCUUGUCUGCUCCCCUCCUUCCUUCCUCUCUCCAACGAUUCGCUUCCCCUCUCCCCCCACACGAUGAAG